GACGAACCGUCCUAACGUUGUUCGGAAUCACUGGGCUUAAAGAGCGUGUAGGCGGCCAGAUAGGUCAGCUGUGAAAACUCGAGGCUCAACCUCGAGAUGUCGGCUGAAACCAUCUGGCUAGAGUCCGGAAGAGGAGAAUGGAAUUCCCGGUGUAGCGGUGAAAUGCGCAGAUAUCGGGAAGAACACCCGUGGCGAAGGCGGUUCUCUGGGCAUGACCUGACGCUGAGGAGCGAAAGACAUGGGGAGCGAACAGG
rnacentral:rRNA from 1 species